rnacentral:rRNA from 1 species
AACGUAGGAGGCGAGCGUUAUCCGGAUUUACUGGGUGUAAAGCGCGUGCAGGCGGUAUGGUAAGUUGGGUGUGAAAGCUCCCGGCUCAACUGGGAGAGGUUGCUCAAGACUGCCAAACUAGAGAGUGGUAAGGGAAGGCGGAAUUCCGGGUGUAGUGGUGAAAUGCGUAGAUAUCCGGAGGAACACCAGUGGCGAAAGCGGCCUUCUGGGCCAGUACUGACGCUCAGACGCGAAAGCCAGGGGAGCAAACGGG